GGUAACGGCUCACCAAGACAACGAUACAUAGGGGGACUGAGAGGUUAACCCCCCACAUUGGUACUGAGACACGGACCAAACUCCUACGGGAGGCAGCAGUGAGGAAUAUUGGUCAAUGGACGCAAGUCUGAACCAGCCAUGCCGCGUGCAGGAAGACGGCUCUAUGAGUUGUAAACUGCUUUUGUACGAGGGUAAACGCAGAUACGCGUAUCUGUCUGAAAGUAUCGUACGAAUAAGGAUCGGCUAACUCCGUGCCAGCAGCCGCGGUAAUACGGAGGAUUCAAGCGUUAUCCGGAUUUAUUGGGUUUAAAGGGUGCGUAGGCGGUCGGAUAAGUUAGAGGUGAAAUCCCGGGGCUCAACUUCGGAAUUGCCUCUGAUACUGUUCGGCUAGAGAGUAGUUGCGGUAGGCGGAAUGUAUGGUGUAGCGGUGAAAUGCUUAGAGAUCAUACAGAACACCGAUUGCGAAGGCAGCUUACCAAGCUACUUCUGACGUUGAGGCACGAAAGCGUGGGGAGCAAACAGGAUUAGAUACCCUGGUAGUCCACGCAGUAAACGAUGAUAACUCGUUGUCGGCGAUACAAUGUCGGUG
rnacentral:rRNA from 1 species